GACGUAGGGUCCAAGCGUUGUCCGGAUUUACUGGGCGUAAAGAGCGCGUAGGCGGUCUGGUUAGUGUGAAGUGAAAUCUCCAGGGCUCAACCCGGAAACUGCUUUGCAUACCGCCAGACUAGAGGAAUGCAGAGGUAUGUGGAAUUCCUGGUGUAGCGGUGAAAUGCGUUGAUAUCAGGAGGAACACCCAUGGCGAAGGCAGCAUACUGGGCAUUAUCUGGCGCUGAGGCGCGAAAGCGUGGGUAGCAAACAGG
rnacentral:rRNA from 1 species